CAGCAAUCAAGGCUCAACUACAACAGGAGGGUGUACACAGCCCACACAGGGGAGUGCACCUGGAGUAUCCAGCUCUGAGUGAUCAGGAAGGAUGUG